AUUGAACGCUGGCGGCAGGCCUAACACAUGCAAGUCGAGCGGAGCGGCGGACGGGUGAGUAAUGCCUAGGAAUCUGCCUGGUAGUGGGGGAUAACGUCCGGAAACGGGCGCUAAUACCGCAUACUAUCAGAUGAGCCUAGGUCGGAUUAGCUAGUUGGUGGGGUAAAGGCCUACCAAGGCGCCGAUCCGUAACUGGUCUGAGAGGAUGAUCAGUCACACUGGAACAGAAACACGGUUCAGACCCCUACGGGAGGCAGCCGUGGGGAAUAUUGGACGAUGGGCGAAAGCCUGAGCCAGCCAUGCCGCGUGUGUGAAGAAGGUCUUCGCAUUGUCAAGCACUUUAAGUUGAGAGGCGUGACCACAAGAAUAAGCACCGGCUAACUCCGUGACAGCAGCCGCGGUAAUAG
rnacentral:rRNA from 1 species